rnacentral:misc_RNA from 1 species
GUAGGUGAACCUGCGGAAGGAUCAUUAACACGUAUCCAAACGUUAAACCCCCCUGUGCAUCUUAAUCCUGCUCGCUUUCGCCUUUGACAAAGCAAUCUCUGGUAAAUCAUUGCCCAAACAGUGUUGAUUCAGAGACCUCUUUCGAAACACGAAUCCAUGGAGCGGCAGAUCAAUAGGCUUGGCUUCCAACGGAGGGAGGAUAACUUGGUAACAUCCAAGGUCGUUGGCUCAACGGACAAGUCUCUGGGCG